rnacentral:rRNA from 1 species
GAUGAACGCUGGCGGCGUGCCUAAUACAUGCAAGUCGAGCGAACGGACGAGAAGCUUGCUUUUCUGAUGUUAGCGGCGGACGGGUGAGUAACACGUGGAUAACCUACCUAUAAGACUGGGAUAACUUCGGGAAACCGGAGCUAAUACCGGAUAAUAUUUUGAACCGCAUGGUUCAAAAGUGAAAGACGGUCUUGCUGUCACUUAUAGAUGGAUCCGCGCUGCAUUAGCUAGUUGGUAAGGUAACGGCUUACCAAGGCAACGAUGCAUAGCCGACCUGAGAGGGUGAUCGGCCACACUGGAACUGAGACACGGUCCAGACUCCUACGGGAGGCAGCAGUAGGGAAUCUUCCGCAAUGGGCGAAAGCCUGACGGAGCAACGCCGCGUGAGUGAUGAAGGUCUUCGGAUCGUAAAAUUCUGUUAUUAGGGAAGAACAUAUGUGUAAGUAACUGUGCACAUCUUGACGGUACCUAAUCAGAAAGCCACGGCUAACUACGUG